GACGAACGCUGGCGGCGUGCUUAACACAUGCAAGUCGAACGGAAAGGCCUGCUUUCCCUUGUGGAUUGCGGGUACUCGAGUGGCUAACGGGUGAGUAACACGUGAGUGAUCUGCCCCCAACUUGGGUAUAAGCCUGGGAAACUGGGUCUAAUUCCCGAUAGGACUGCAGGGUGGUGCCUGUGGUGGAAAACGAUUUUCUAGUGGUUGGGGAUGAGCUCGCGGCCUAUCAGCUUGUUGGUGGGGUAAUGGCCUACCAAGGCGGCGACGGGUAGCCGGCCUGGGAGGGUGGACGGCCACAUUGGGACUGGGAUACGGCCCAGACUCAUGCGGGAGGCAGCAGUGGGGAAUAUUGCACAAUGGGCGGAAGCCGGAUGCAGCGACGCCGCGUGGGGGAUGACGGCCUGCGGGUUGUAAACUCCUUUCGACCGCGAGGAAGCCAGCUGGUUGGAAGGGUGGUGACGGUAGUGGUAGAAGAAACACCGGCUAACUACGU
rnacentral:rRNA from 1 species